rnacentral:rRNA from 1 species
UACAGAGGUCUCAAGCGUUGUUCGGAUUCAUUGGGCGUAAAGGGUGCGUAGGCGGCGGGGCAAGUCUGAUGUGAAAUCCUGGGGCUCAACCCUGGAACUGCAUUGGAUACUGCCUUGCUAGAGUACUGGAGAGGAAACUGGAAUUUACGGUGUAGCAGUGAAAUGCGUAGAGAUCGUAAGGAAGACCAGUGGCGAAGGCGAGUUUCUGGACAGUUACUGACGCUGAGGCACGAAGGCCAGGGGAGCAAACGGG